rnacentral:rRNA from 1 species
UACAGAGGUCUCAAGCGUUGUUCGGAAUUACUGGGCGUAAAGGGCUUGUAGGUGGCCAACUAAGUCAGACGUGAAAUCCCUCGGCUUAACCGGGGAACUGCGUCUGAUACUGGAUGGCUUGAGUGUGGGAGAGGGAUGCGGAAUUCCAGGUGUAGCGGUGAAAUGCGUAGAUAUCUGGAGGAACACCGGUGGCGAAGGCGGCAUCCUGGACCAUUACUGACACUGAAAAGCGAAAGCCAGGGGAGCAAACGGG